rnacentral:lncRNA from 1 species
GCAACAUGGCAAAAAAACCCGUCUCUACCAAAAAUACAAAAAAUUGCUGGGCAUGGUGGCACAUGCCUGUAGUCCCAGCUACUCGGAGGGCUGAAGCGGGAGGAUUGCUUGAGCCCAGAAGGUCAAGUCUGCAGUGAGCCCUGAUCACACCACUGUACUCCAACUUGGGCAACAGAGUGAGACCCUGUCUCAAAAAAAUUAUUACUUUCUACUUUCUGAAUUAACAUGAAGGAGCAUAAAUAAAAUUUUGAAGAGGUUCAUGUGGUCAGAGGGGUAAACUGUCAUAUUCCAAAGAAAAGUGAAGAUAUCUUGAAGUAAAACUUCUUCCAAGUGAGCUGUGCUUAUUAAGUACCAAAUGGGAUCCAAUUUAUUUGCAGUAUUUAAUCUAAUGCAGUCAGAGGGCAUAGCAGUUCUGACGAAGUCUGAUGAAGGAGGAACUCUGUUUACUUCCACCCGCUCCUUCUCCCUGGAUUAAAACACCACGAAUUUUCUGCUCUUUGCUUUUCUUGAAUAAGUUACCAAAAAAGAGCAGAACUAAGUCAACACCAAACUGCCCUUUGGAUAAACAAGAUGGAGCAGAUUUAUUUACCUUGGAACAUGAUUUUGAAUUCAAGCCAUGAAGUACACUGGAGGAAUGCCUUACAUCUACUAAUUAUUCAUUUUGGAAUUCCAAUUUUGACUCAAGAUUUGAACCAUGUGGGUCCACUUAUGUAUGAAGAUUUCCUUCAUCUUCUGCCACCCAAGACAGCAAGACCAACCCCUCCUCUUCCUUAGCCCACUCAGUGGGAAGACGAUGAGGAUGAAGAACUUUAUGAUGAUCUACUUCUUCUUCAUGAAUA